UUACGGCCAUUUCACUUUGAAACAUUGGUUCCCAUACGAUCACUGAAGUUAAGCAAUGUCAAGCUUAAUCAGUACCUAGAUGGGUGACCGCUUGGAAAUACCACCUACUGUAAG